AGAGUUGACUAGACAACCGCUGCUUUUCUGCUAUCCCCUCUGGGGAGAAGACAGACAAAGGGGAGGAAAGUCCGGGCUCCACAGGGCAGGGUGCCAGGUAAUUCCUGGGAGGCACAAGCCUACGACAAGUGCAGCAGAGAGCAAACCGCCGAUGGCUCUUGUAUACCGACAGUCCUUUAAGUUGCCGCUAGGCGGCCAAGGUGUGAGACCGAUGAGCGUAGAUAGACUACGUGAUUCGGCGAGCACCCGCCGCGCCAACGCCGCCGUAACUUGAAAGACGAAGGGUAUAAUCGAGAUCAGGUAAGGGUGAAAGGGUGCGGUAAGAGCGCACCGCGCAGCUGGUAACAGUUUGUGGCAAGGUAAACUCCACCUGGAGCAAGGCCAAAUAGAGGUUCACAAAGUGCGGCUCGUACUGAACCCGGGUAGGCUGCUUGAGCCAGUGAGUGAUUGCUGGCCUAGAUGAAUGGUUGUCCACGACAGAACCCGGCUUAUCGGUCAACUCCUUAA
rnacentral:RNase_P_RNA from 1 species